rnacentral:rRNA from 1 species
UACGUAGGGUGCGAGCGUUGUCCGGAAUUACUGGGCGUAAAGAGCUCGUAGGUGGUUUGUCGCGUUGUCCGUGAAAACUCACAACUCAAUUGUGGGCGUGCGGGCGAUACGGGCAGACUGGAGUACUGCAGGGGAGACUGGAAUUCCUGGUGUAGCGGUGGAAUGCGCAGAUAUCAGGAGGAACACCGGUGGCGAAGGCGGCUCGCUGGACCGGAACUGACGCUGAGGCGCGAAAGCGUGGGGAGCAAACAGG